rnacentral:rRNA from 1 species
UCUGCCAGCCACAUCUCCAAGAAUACGCGGAGGAGGUGGCACGGGUCGGCGUUGGCGCCGUCCAGCGCGGGUCGCGGGCCCGCUUCCAAGUGCGUCUGCGCGCCGGCCACCCACGCCGGGUCCUUCAAGUGCCGCUUCCACCGGACCAACUCCCAGGGCCAGGGCCAGGGAAGCCGCCCUUCUUCGCCCCCUUCACCAGUCGCGGCCAACGCGGUGCCGCGGCACCCGGCCUCGCCUUCCUCGUCCUCCGGCACCGUCGCGACCCAGUGA